GACGAACGCUGGCGGCGUGCUUAACACAUGCCAGUCGAACGGAUAGGCCCUGCUUUUGUGGGGUGCUCGAGUGGCGAACGGGUGAGUAACACGUGAGUAACCUGCCCUUGACUUUGGGAUAACUUCAGGAAACUGGGGCUAAUACCGGAUAGGAGCUCCUGCUGCAUGGUGGGGGUUGGAAAGUUUCGGCGGUUGGGGAUGGACUCGCGGCUUAUCAGCUUGUUGGUGGGGUAGUGGCUUACCAAGGCUUUGACGGGUAGCCGGCCUGAGAGGGUGACCGGCCACAUUGGGACUGAGAUACGGCCCAGACUCCUACGGGAGGCAGCAGUGGGGAAUAUUGCACAAUGGGCGGAAGCCUGAUGCAGCAACGCCGCGUGCGGGAUGACGGCCUUCGGGUUGUAAACCGCUUUCGCCUGUGACGAAGCGUGAGUGACGGUAAUUGGUAAAGAAGCACCGGCUAACUACGUG
rnacentral:rRNA from 1 species